CCAUGAAGUGUGUGGGGGAACCCGGGCGGCUGAGUAGCCUACAGCGCUCCGCGGCAGCCAAAAUCCUCGACCCCUGUUAGAGGCACUAAAAGACAGGUUAAUGUAGUACAUGAACCGGCCAAUUUUAUCUCUUCUUCUUUUCUUCAGCGACUGAGCCGAUUGUGGGAGAGUGCCAAGCACAGAAGCAGGCCACUCCGUGGCGAGUACCGAGGAGGUGCCGGCGGCCGCGGCCCGCGGCCCAGGCCCAGACCAGCGGCGGUGUGUGUACACGGAGCGGCAUGACGGGCAUCCUCUUCGAAGAUAUCUUUGACGUGAAGGACAUCGACCCUGAUGGGAAGAAGUUUGACCGAGGUAAGUGUACAGAGACCUUCACUUCUCCCCUCCACGUGUCCAGUUGCCAUGAGGCCUCCAAAACCAAGGCCAGGAGGGGGAGCAGGAGGAGGAGGGAGGAGGAGGAGGAGGCCUUGAGUGUGACGGCAGCAAAGGGCCCUGAGAGAGGUGAGUGCACUUUCUCUCUCUCUCUCUCUCUCUCUCUCUCUCUCUCUCUCUCUCUCUCUCUCUCUCUCUCUCACACACACACACACACACACACACACACACACACACACACACACACACACA